rnacentral:rRNA from 1 species
GACGAACGCUGGCGGCGUGCUUAACACAUGCAAGUCGAACGGAAAGGCCCUGCUUUUGUGGGGUGCUCGAGUGGCGAACGGGUGAGUAACACGUGAGUAACCUGCCCUUGACUUUGGGAUAACUUCAGGAAACUGGGGCUAAUACCGGAUAGGAGCUCCUGCUGCAUGGUGGGGGUUGGAAAGUUUCGGCGGUUGGGGAUGGACUCGCGGUUUAUCAGCUUGUUGGUGGGGUAGUGGCUUACCAAGGCUUUGACGGGUAGCCGGCCUGAGAGGGUGACCGGCCACAUUGGGACUGAGAUACGGCCCAGACUCCUACGGGAGGCAGCAGUGGGGAAUAUUGCACAAUGGGCGGAAGCCUGAUGCAGCAACGCCGCGUGCGGGAUGACGGCCUUCGGGUUGUAAACCGCUUUCGCCUGUGACGAAGCGUGAGUGACGGUAAUGGGUAAAGAAGCACCGGCUAACUACGU